rnacentral:rRNA from 1 species
UACGGAGGAUGCGAGCGUUAUCCGGAUUUAUUGGGUUUAAAGGGUGCGCAGGCGGCACGGCAAGCCGGCGGUCAAAUCGCGGGGCUCAACCCCGCCCAGCCGUCGGAACUGCCGGGCUAGAGUGGGCGGGAAGUGCGCGGAAUGCGUGGUGUAGCGGUGAAAUGCAUAGAUAUCACGCAGAACUCCGAUUGCGAAGGCAGCGCACCGGCGCCCUACUGACGCUCAGGCACGAAAGCGUGGGUAUCGAACAGG